rnacentral:rRNA from 1 species
GACAGAGGGUGCAAACGUUGUUCGGAAUUACUGGGCGUAAAGCGCGUGUAGGCAGCUAUGCAAGUCGGAUGUGAAAGCCCUGGGCUCAACCUAGGAAGUGCACUCGAAACUGCAAAGCUGGAGUCCUGGAGAGGAAGGCGGAAUUCUCGGUGUAGAGGUGAAAUUCGUAGAUAUCGAGAGGAACACCGGUGGCGAAGGCGGCCUUCUGGACAGUGACUGACGCUGAGACGCGAAAGCGUGGGGAGCAAACAGG